AAUGGCGGCGGUCAGUGGGGUCUGUCACCGUCUGAAGUGUUUAUUCGUUUUCUGCAAACAGGCCUAGGGAGUUUCAUUUUGUGUUUUUCGACGCAUAGCAAGUGUUUGAAAAACUUCCAAUCUCAUAAGAAGAUAAUUUUUCUGCCGUUUAACUUUCUGUGCCGUGUCCUACUCUGGCCUCAAAUGCGCAAACCUUGGUCUCAGCGAGUGGGCACUGCCCGCGUGGAUGAUCACGUGGUUUACACUGGUUCUGUCCCUUGUUUACUCCGAGAUAACAAACUGUGAGGCUGGAUGAACACAGCAGGCCAAGCAGCAUCUUCGGAGCACAAGAGCUGACGUUUCGGGCUUAGACCCCUCAUAGGAGCAGCUGCCUCCGCCCAGUUCGCUAGCACCGCCCCUGUGCUCCGAUUGGUCCAACGCUGAUAUCAAUCACCCAGGUCACCGAACGUCAAUUGGAGCAUGCGGAGUGCUUCUUGUUGUCAUCAGAAGCUUGCGUUUUCAGUCCAGGAGAAACGAAACUUAGAACUACAUUGAGAGGAUGUACACUAGAGACCCUGGGAUUUUAAUAAGCUUGAAAGAGCUGCCUGCAGCUAAAAGCUAAAGAUAGCUCUUGACGUUGCUCUGUCAGCGAAGAGAGCAAUGUUGGUGAAAUAAACGGAAUCAAUAUCGACAUAGCAGUCCUCAGUAUCAGUGGCUGUGCAACACAAUUGGGAUGUUCCAAUUAUGGAUCAGAAUGUGAGAACAAUGGAUGGGAAUGUUACAAGAACGUACCAGAAUCUGAGAGGAAUAGAUUGGAAUGUUCCAACAAUGGACAGGAGUUUAUCCAAUGGCCUUCACUUGUUUUCGAUCGAUCAGGUACCAUUAACAUGGCGGAUCGAAGCUGUAGUGAUGAUUAUUCAAGCGGGUUACUAUCCCAUCCUCGCUUUUGUUGGUGUUCCCGAGCCAACAUGACAUCAGAAGGCUGAAUUGUCUCUCUCUCUGCUCGACCGCAAUGACUGUAGGAUCCAACGAGAACAAGAUCAGCUGCUCCAGUCUCUCCAACCAACUGAAGUCCUGAAUCCCUGAUGACAUUCCUAUAAUUCCAGUCUCAAACUUCUCUCUGAACGUAAUGCCUUUCUGCAAAGGCACAGCCCAUGUUUGGGCACCUUUCUGCAGAGAUAGAAUUGAAAAGGAGGAAAAUGAUGUUGCACUUAGUUGAAACCAAAGUUUGACUCCACUGGGAGCACUGUCAACAUUUGUCACUGCCAUUUGGUCAAAGGAAACAGAGGCACUGGAAGUGUGUCACGCUGAUUCAAAAAGACACUGUCAAAACAGAAAACAUGUAACCCUCAGGCAAGUCUGGGGAGCUUUUCUCCAGAAAAGAGAAGACUAAAGGAUGAUCUAAUGGAAGCCUUUAAAGUGAUGAAGGGUUUAAAAAUCUAUUAGUGGUUGUAUGAGAAACCUCUUUACCCUGCGACAGGUCAAAAUGUGCAACUCACUCCAAUAGCACGAGAUGGAGGUGAACAGAUGAAUAUAUUUGAGAAGUUGGAUGCAUACGUGAGGGAGAAAGGAAUAGACAGAUCUGUCGAUGGGCGACACAGAAGGGAAAGAUGUGGAGCAUAAAUACUGAUGGAGACUAAUUGAGUUGAUUGGGCGAGAGACUCAAUGGAUCAAAGACAAACAUAUUUACUUCUGAUCGAAUUGGAGUAGUGAGGAAAGCAUUGUUUCAUAUCCAGGACAAAUUAAAUUUACUUCAUCAUUUCUUUGGGAAUGCACAGUCCCAGACUCAAAGUACAUCAGCCUCACUGGAAGCAAAGUGGUGCGAGCGGCCAGUCCAGCAGAAAGAAACCAUCUGUCCCUCCCACUUACUCACUGUCAGAAUGAACAUGGCUCAGUCUUGGAUGUGAUUUUCCCUCAUUUUCAAUUCAAUUCAUGGGAUUUAGUAUCACUGUCGAGGUCAGCACUUAUUGCCCAUCCCAGUUGUCCUCCUUGAGAAGAUAGUGGUUUCUGGGACUGCAGUCUUUGAGGUGUAGGGUCACCCACAGUGCUGUUUGGGAGAAGUUCCUGGAUUUUGAAUCAUUGAGAGCAAAGGAACAGACAAUAUGGAAGAAUAUGAUAUUCAAGUCCCAGGUAUUUCAGUGACUCCAUUACAUCUUCAUGUGGUGGCCACUUUGAGAUUUCUGUUUUGCAAAUCUUCCCCUUCUAGCAUCCUGUUAAUGAGAAUCGUGUGCAGUAUUGAGAAGAGCAUGCUGGAGCAUGUAUGUCCCAUGUAACUGCUUCACUUGUUCUUCUAGGCAAUCGAUACUUUCUGUUUGAAAUGAGCUGUCUAGCAGCAUAUAUGAUGCAGAUUAACAGCAGAUCCAACUCCUGGGAUUAUUUGUGUAAUUUCUUGUACUUCUACAGACUGGAUGACUGCAUGAAUCCUUUCCCUCACUUAGAACAUAUGAAUGGCUUCUCCCCAGUAUGCACUUGCUGGCGUACCUGUAGGCCAGAUGGAUCUCUGAACUGAUUCCCACACGUGGAGCAUUUGAAGGAUCUCUUCCCUGUGUGGAUGCAGAUGGUGGAAUUUGAAUUCAAUAAAUAUCUGGAAUUAAGAAUCUAAUAAUGACUGUGAAUCAAUUGUCAAUUGUUGGAAAAACUCAUCUGGUUCACAAAUGUCUUUCAGGGAAAGAAAUUGCCAUCCUUACCUGGUUUGCAAUACAUGUGACUCCAGACCUGCAGCAAUGUCGUUGACUUUGAACUGCCCUCUGGGCAAUUAGAGAUGGGCAAUAAAUGCUGCCUAGCCAGCGAUGCCCUCAUCAUAUGAAUGGAUAAAAACAAAUUCAGAGCAGGUGCACAGCCUCUCUCCAGUGGCAGCACAUUGGCGUUUCCACAGGGCAGAUGAACCAAGGAAUCCCUUCCCACAAUCAGAGCAGGUGAAUGGUCUCUGCCUCAUGUGACUGCAUUGAUGAAACUCCAGCACUGACAGGCAAUGGAAUCCUUUCUCACAUUUCCAUGGUUCUCCAUUUUACAGGAGAUCUUGUGUCUUUGUAAGUUCCUGCUGUGAAUGGUAUGAUGUUUCUUUCAGACUAAGUAAAGGUAUAUCAGUUCACUGGAAGUCUGUCGCUUGGGUGUAUGUGUUUCAGUACAUUUCCAGACAAACUGUUGUUUCAAAUCUUUCGAAACAGAUAGACACUUCUUGAUCUAUGGUUUCAAGCCAAUGAUAUUCAAGUGUGGAUGAUUUCAGAGACUCCAUUGGAUCUUCACGUGAUGGUUGUUUUGAGACUUUUGUCUGAAAAUCUUCCGUUUCUACCAUCCUGCAAAAAGAUGAUGAUGAUGAUAAUAAUAAUAAUAAUUACUAUUAAUAUUAUUAUUAUUGCUGUUGAUGUUAGUAUUAUUGUUAU